rnacentral:snRNA from 8 species
AUCGCUUCUCGGCCUUUUGGCUCAGAUCAAGUGUAGUAUCUGUUCUUAUCAGUUUAAUAUCUGAUACGUCCCCCAUCGGGGGACUACAUAUUAAAUGGAUUUUUCGAACAGGGAGUCGGAAAUGGGGCUUGCUCCGUCCGCUCCACGCAUCGACGCGGUAUUGCAGUACCUCCGGGAACGGUGCAACACUU